rnacentral:lncRNA from 1 species
GACGGGGUUUUCCGCCACUCUCUCUCGCUGGCAUCUCUCUGGCUCUGCGCGCCCGGCGCUCGCUCGCUGCCUAAAGAUGUAAACAAUAGAGCACGCUCUGCGCUUUGGCGCGCCGGAGCUCUGGCUCCUAAAGGCGCUGGGCACUUGCUCUCCUGGCUCCCAAAGAUGUUAGCAAUAAAGUUUUGCCGCAGAAGAUUUUGGUCUGUGGUGUUCUUCCUGGCCGGUCGUGAGAACGCGUCUAAUAACAAUUGGUGCCGAAUUCCGGGACGAGAAAUUCCGGGACGAGAAAAAAUCCGGGAAGAAAAAACCUGGGAGGAAACUCGGGACGGGAGUUUCACCGGCGCAGGGAAGAUCCCUCAUUCCAGAACCAGAACUGCGGGUCGCGGUAAUAAAGGUUCCCGUAAAGCAGACUGUUAAGAAGGAUUCAACUGCAUGAAUUCAGAACUUUUCAGCUGGGGAACGGCGGUAACCCGUAAGUAUAGCUUUACGAGGUAAGCCUGGCCUUGAACUUUCUAAGGAAAUUCAAGACAGUCUAUCAGAAGUAAAGUGGAAAAUAGCUUUAUAAGGUAUGUUUGGCCUUGAACUUUCUCUAGUGUUAGAAGCCCUUUUGUUCCUUUUCACAUGUUAUCAAGUGGUUAAGGCAGGGCGGAUUCUGGAUGAAGUUCAGGACAAUCUAUCAGAAGUAAAGCGGGGAGAGAGAAUAGGAGCAAAGAGAAAAUAUGGUACACAAAAUAAGUAUACAGGCCUUUCCAAGGGUCUUGAACCUGAGGAAAAGUUUAGGUCAGGUAAGAAUACCUGGGGAGAGAUUAGAAGGAAGGAGAAGGAAAAAGAAAAGAAAAAAGAUCAAUUAGAGAAGCCAGUUCUUAGUAGUUCUGAAUCAGAUGAAAAGGCUAUUAGGGCCUGGAAGGCGCUCUCCCGAGCAGGUGAAGCCACUGGACAAUAAUGACAGAGGCAGGCUCUUGCAGCCUACAAGGUCUUAUUGUCCACCCUAGAGUUGUAGAUCAAGAUUAUAAAGGGGAACUUCAGGUUCUCUGUUCUUGUCCUCAAGUUGUCUUUUCUAUAUCACAAGGGGACAGAAUAGCUCAACUAAUAAUUUUGCCAAGCCUACAUGGCUGUUUUUUCUUCCUCUGGUAUUCCUAGAGCUGCAAGAGGGAUUAGUUCUACUGAAAAUGAUUCUGAAUACUUAAUAAUGCCUUUAGAUUGUUGUCAAAUUUUAUCUACUCACGUAGGGGUAAACCCUCGUGGCGUCAGGCCAUUACAGGUCUGACAAAUGGAUGUCACGCAUAUUUCCUCCUUUGAGAGAAAUCAAUAUUUACAUGUUUAGAAGAAACCCACUUAAAAAUGGGAUUGUGGUAUAUACUGAUGGAUCAAAAACUGGCAUAGGUGCCUAUGUGGCUAAUAGUAGGGUAGUAUCCAAACAAUAUAAUGAAAAUUCACCUCAAGUGGUAGAAUGUUUAGUGGUUUUAGAAGUUUUAAAAACCUUUUUAGAACCCCUUAAUAUUGUGUCAGAUUCCUGUUAUGUGGUUAAUGCAGUAAAUCUUUUAGAAGUGGCUGGAGUGAUUAAGCCUUCCAGUAGAGUUGCCAAUAUUUUUCAGCAGAUACAAUUAGUUUUGUUAUCUAGAAGAUCUCCUGUUUAUAUUACUCAUGUUAGAGCCCAUUCAGGCCUACCUGGCCCCAUGGCUCUGGGAAAUGAUUUGGCAGAUAAGGCCACUAAAGUGGUGGCUGCUGCCCUAUCAUCCCCGGUAGAGGCUGCAAGAAAUUUUCAUAACAAUUUUCAUGUGACGGCUGAAACAUUACGCAGUCGUUUCUCCUUGACAAGAAAAGAACAAAUAACUCAGCAGGGAUGUGAACAAAAGUUUCCGGGAUUGUGUGUUAUUUUCCAUUCAGUAUGUUAAAUUUACUAGGGCAGCUAAAUUGUCAAAAAGUCUUUUUCAGUAUAUGUUACAGAAUUGGAUGGCUGAAUUUGAACAGAUCCUUCGGGAAUUGAGACUUCAGGUCAACUCCACGCGCUUGGACCUGUCGCUGACCAAAGGAUUACCCAAUUGGAUCUCCUCAGCAUUUUCUUUCUUUAAAAAAUGGGUGGGAUUAAUACUAUUUGGAGAUACACUUUGCUGUGGAUUAGUGUUGCUUCUUUGAUUGGUCUGUAAGCUUAAGGCCCAAACUAAGAGAGACAAGGUGGUUAUUGCCCAGGCGCUUGCAGGACUAGAACAUGGAGCUUCCCCUGAUAUAUCUAUGCUUAGGCAAUAGGUCGCUGGCCACUCAGCUCUUAUGAGGCUAGUCUCAUUGCACGGGAUAGAGUGAGUGUGCUUCAGCAGCCCGAGAGAGUUGCACGGCUAAGCACUGCAAUGGAAAGGCUCUGCGGCAUAUAUGAGCCUAUUCUAGGGAGACAUGUCAUCUUUCAUGAAGGUUCAGUGUCCUAGUUCCCUUCCCCCAGGCAAAACGACACGGGAGCAGGUCAGGGUUGCUCUGGGUAAAAGCCUGUGAGCCUAAGAGCUAAUCCUGUACAUGGCUCCUUUACCUACACACUGGGGAUUUGACCUCUAUCUCCACUCUCAUUAAUAUGGGUGGCCUAUUUGCUCUUAUUAAAAGGAAAGGGGGAGAUGUUGGGAGCCGCCCCCACAUUCGCCGUCACAAGAUGGCGUUGACAUCCUGUGUUCUAAGUGGUAAACAAAUAAUCUGCGCAUGUGCCAAGGGUAUUUACGACUACUUGUACUCUGCUUUUCCCGUGAACGUCAGCUCGGCCAUGGGCUGCAGCCAAUCAGGGAGUGAUGCGUCCUAAGUGAAGGGUCACUCCUCCUUAAAGGGGACGGGGUUUUCCGCCACUCUCUCUCGCUGGCAUCUCUCUGGCUCUGCGCGCCCGGCGCUCGCUCGCUGCCUAAAGAUGUAAACAAUAGAGCACGCUCUGCGCUUUGGCGCGCCGGAGCUCUGGCUCCUAAAGGCGCUGGGCACUUGCUCUCCUGGCUCCCAAAGAUGUUAGCAAUAAAGUUUUGCCGCAGAAGAUUUUGGUCUGUGGUGUUCUUCCUGGCCGGUCGUGAGAACGCGUCUAAUAACAA